rnacentral:tmRNA from 1 species
GGGGGCGACAGGCUUCGACGCGGUCGGUUCGCGGGGGUGGUUGCGAGCCGAGGUGCGGGAGGCCUCGUUAAACACCCGCACAACACACACAUGCGGACUCUCACGAGUACGCCCUCGCUGCCUAGCACACACUAGGUAGGUGAGGUAUCGGGCCUCGCUCGCCGGCGGCGGGGGUCCCCGGUAUCAACUCAGCCGGAUCACCCGUGGCGGACGCCCUCGUCGUCCCGGGGACAUCUUCAGGAGGGCUGGCGCUCCCGACGUGGGUCGACGGGACCGAGGGAGCGCGAGACCAAGACACGCCGACUACGCUCGUAGACACCGCCCUUGGCGCGGUCGCGGACGCGGGUUCAACUCCCGCCGUCUCCACC